CGGUCCAGACUCCUACGGGAGGCAGCAGUGGGGAAUAUUGCACAAUGGGGGGAACCCUGAUGCAGCCAUGCCGCGUGUAUGAAGAAGGCCUUCGGGUUGUAAAGUACUUUCGGUGAUGAGGAAGGUAAUGAAUCUAAUAGGUUUAUUAAUUGACGUUAAUCACAGAAGAAGCACCGGCUAACUCCGUGCCAGCAGCCGCGGUAAUACGGAGGGUGCGAGCGUUAAUCGGAAUGACUGGGCGUAAAGGGCAUGUAGGCGGAUAAUUAAGUUAGGUGUGAAAGCCCUGGGCUCAACCUAGGAAUUGCACUUAAAACUGGUUAACUAGAGUAUUGUAGAGGAAGGUAGAAUUCCACGUGUAGCGGUGAAAUGCGUAGAGAUGUGGAGGAAUACCGGUGGCGAAGGCGGCCUUCUGGACAGAUACUGACGCUGAGAUGCGAAAGCGUGGGGAGCAAACAGGAUUAGAUACCCUGGUAGUCCACGCUGUAAACGAUGUCGAUUUGGAGUUUGUUGCCUAGAGUGAUGGGCUCCGAAGCUAACGCGAUAAAUCGACCGCCUGGGGAGUACGGCCGCAAGGUUAAAACUCAAAUGAAUUGACGGGGGCCCGCACAAGCGGUGGAGCAUGUGGUUUAAUUCGAUGCAACGCGAAGAACCUUACCUGGUCUUGACAUCCACAGAAUCUUGUAGAGAUACGAGAGUGCCUUCGGGAACUGUGAGACAGGUGCUGCAUGGCUGUCGUCAGCUCGUGUUGUGAAAUGUUGGGUUAAGUCCCGCAACGAGCGCAACCCUUAUCCUUUGUUGCCAUCGAUUAGGUCGGGAACUCAAAGGAGACUGCCGUUGAUAAAGCGGAGGAAGGUGGGGACGACGUCAAGUCAUCAUGGCCCUUACGACCAGGGCUACACACGUGCUACAAUGGCGUAUACAAAGGGAGGCGACCUCGCGAGAGUAAGCGGACCUCACAAAGUACGUCUAAGUCCGGAUUGGA
rnacentral:rRNA from 1 species